rnacentral:rRNA from 1 species
AAUAUUGCACAAUGGGGGAAACCCUGAUGCAGCGACGCCGCGUGAGUGAAGAAGUAUCUCGGUAUGUAAAGCUCUAUCAGCAGCGAAGAAAAUGACGUUACCUGACUAAUAAUCCCCGGCUACCUACGUUCCAGCAGCCGCGGUAAUACGUAGGGGGCAAGCGUUAUCCGGAUUUACUGGGUGUAAAGGGUGCGUAGACGGUUGUGUAAGUCUGAAGUGAAAGGCGGGGGCUCAAAUCCCGGAAUGCAUUGGAAACUAUAUAACUAGAGUGCAGGAGGGGUAAGCGGAAUUCCUGGUGUAGCGGUGAAAUGCUUAGAUAUCAGGAGGAACAACGGCGGCGAAGGCGGCUUACUGGACUGUAACUGACGUUGAGGCACGAAAGCGUGGGGAGCAAACAGG